GAUGCAGGGCUUGAUCCCAGGACCCUGGGAUCAUGACCUGAGCCAAAGGCAGGUGCUUAACAACUGAGCCACCCAGGUGCCCCACAAGUUUUGUUUUUUAAAUCAGAUAUAUAUUUUGCAAACAUUUUCUCCCAGUCUGUGGUUUAUAUUUCCAUUCUCUUAACGGUGUCUCUCAUACAGCAGAAGUCUUUAAUUUUAGGGGCGCCUGGGUGGCUCAGUCGUUGGGCGUCUGUCUUCCGCUCGGGUCACCAUCCCAGGGUCCUGGGAUCCAACCCCGCAUCCAGCUCCCUGCUCGGCGGGAAGCCUGCUUCUCCCUCUUCGGCUCCCCCUGUUUGUUUUCCUGCUCUUGCUAUCUCUCUCUCUGUCAGGUGAAUAAAUAAAAUCUUAAAAAAAAAAAAAAGAAGUCUUUAAAAAAAAAAUUUAUUGUUAUGUUAAUCACCAUACAUUACAUCAUUCGUUUUUGAUGUAGUGUUCCAUGAUUCAUUGUUUGUGUAUAACACCCAGUGCUCCAUGCAGAAUGUGCCCUCUUUAAUACCCAUCACCAGGCUAACCCAUCCUCCCACCCCCCUCCCCUCUAGAACCCUCAGUUUGUUUUUUUAAAAAAAGAAGUCUUUAAUUUUAAUGAAGUCCAUCAAUUUUUUUUCUUUUUAAAAAAAUUUUUUAAAGUUUAUUUAUUUGUGGGGCGCCUGGGUGGCUCAGUCGUUAAGCGUCUGCCUUUGGCUCGGUCCUGGGAUCGAGCCCUGCCUUGGGCUCCCUGCUCCGUGGGAAGCCUGCUUCUCCCUCUCCCACUCCCCCUGCUUGUGUUCCCUCUCUUGCUGUGUCUCUUUCUGUCAAAUAAAUAAAAAUCUUUGGGGCGCCUGGGUGGCUCAGUUGGUUAAACGACGCCUUCGGCUCAGGUCAUGAUCCUGGAGUCCCAGGAUCGAGUCCCACAUCGGGCUCCCUGCUCAGCGGGGAGUCUGCUUCUCCCUCUGAUGCUCCCCCCUCUCAUGCUCUGUCUCUCUCUCUCUCAUUCUCUCUCUCAAAUAAAUAAAUAAAAUCUUUAAAAAUAAAUAAAUAAAUAAAUAAAUAAAUAAAUAAAUAAAUAAAUAAAUAAAAAUCUUUAACAAUUAAAAAAAAUUUAUUUAUUUGUGGGGCGCCUGCGUGGCUCAGUCAUUAAGUGUCUGCCUUAGGCUCAGGUCAUGAUCCCAGUGACCUGGGAUUGAGCCCCACAUCGGGCUCCCUGCUCAGUAGGAAGCCUGCUUUUCCCUCUCCCACUCUCCCUGCUGUGUUCCUUCUCUCACCGUCUCUCUGUCAAAUAAAUAAAUAAAAUCUUUAAAAAUAUAUUUAUUUAUUUGUCAGAGAGAGAGCACACAAGCAGGGGGAGCAGCAGGCAGAGGGAGAAGCAGGCUCCCUGCUGAGCAAGAAGACCCAUGUGUGACUCCAUCCCAGAAUCCUGGGACUAUGACGUGAGCUGAAGGCAGAUGCUUAACUGACUGAGCGACCCAGGCAGCCCAUCAAUUGUUUUUUUUCUUAAAUUGUGCUUUUGGUGUUCUAUCUAAAAUGUGAUCACCAAACCGAGGGUUUCCUAGAUUUUACUAUGUUAUUGUCUAGAAGUUCUAUAAUUUUGCAUUUUACAUUUAGAUCUAUUGAUUCAUUCUGAGAAUUAAUUUUUGUGAGAGGUGUAAGGUCUGCAUCUAUAUUCUUUUUGUUUGUUUGUUUACAUUUGGGUGUCUAGUUGCUCCAGAUGGACAUUGCUGCAAAGAUCCUCAGCUCCAUUGAAUUGCCUUUGUUCCCUUAUCAAAGAUCAGUUGACUAUAUUAGUGUGGGUCUAUUUCUAAGCUUUCUGUUCUGUUCCACUGAUUUAUUUUUCUAUUCUUCAGACAAUGCCAUGCUGUCUUGAACACUGUAGCUUUAUAUGGAAAAUUUGCUUACCACAGAGUGGCUAUUGCAAUUGCUGCAAUACAGUCAAUUGGAAUUAGAAUCUUCCAUGAAUUUGAAGAUAUGAUGGAAAAGAAGCAACACAAGCAAAGUCUAUCUUUAACAGAAAUCUAAAAUGAGGAACUUGAGAUGCAAAAACCUCUUUCAUUCCUCUUCUUCUGAUAGACAAAAGUUUUUUAAAGUCAUCUUUGUAAAAAGUCUUUAGAUCUACAAUGAUUUGUUGUAAGUAUAUAACAUGAUUGGGUUCUUUAUCUUCUUCUGCUAUUGAUAUGGUAAUUAUUUCAGGUAAUAGAUGUAACCUUCAAGAUUUCAUGAAGUGGGGUGCCUGUGUGGCUCAGUUGAGCAUCUGACUCUUGGUUUCGGCUCAGGUCUGAUCUCGGGGUUGUGGGAUUGGGCCCUGCUUCUGACUCCAUGCUCAGUGUGGAGUCUGCUUGUCCCUCCCCUCUGCUCCUCCUGCUUGGACUCAUUCUCUCUGUCUCUGCUUCUGUCUCUGUCUGUCUGUCUCUCUUAAAUAAAUAAAUAAAUAAAUAAAUAAAUAAAUAAAUAAAUAAAUAAAUAAAUAAAAUCUAAAAAGAUAUUUCAUUAAGUAACGUCUGACAAUUCACCCUGCCACUUGAAGAAGAAAAAUCAGAUACUUAAGGAUGUGAGCAAGAAUGACAGCAGUCUGUUAUCAGGCUUGGCACUCCAAAGCUGAGUAGAAUCCAUGUGAUUGAUCACUACAUACACACUGAAGGAGUUGGCCAAAUAGUUUUUUGGGAAGAAAACAUUCUAGGUGGGGGAAAAUCUAGAGCAAAACUCAUAAGGAAGAUAGGUUUUUGGUUUGUUCAAGGAAUAGCACAAAGAUUGAUGUGGUUUGAGCAGAGAAAGGAUGAUCAGUAGUGCAGUCGGAGAUAAGGUCAGGAUGGUAAUGGGAGAACCAGACAAUUUGGACUUUGUUACAGUAAGGCUUUGCCUUGUAUUCUGAGUGAAAUGGGAACCUAGGAUUUCUCUUUUCAGAACUGGAGUGAUAUAGCUAAAGUCAGCCUGGCUGCCAUGUUGAAAAUAUAAUGCAGGGAGGAAAGGGUAAAAGCAGAAAGAUAAAAUAAGAGGCGAUUUCAGUAAUCCCAAUGAGAGGUUAUAAUGACUUUGGACAUGGUGGUAGUACUUGGGAAAAUAAAAUAGAUUCUUAGUAUUUUUUCAACUUUGAAAACUUCAAAUCUAUAGAAAACUUGUAAGAAUCAGACAAUGAACAUUCAUAUAUCCUUCACUUACAUUUACUAAUUGUUAACACUACAUUAUCUCUCUCUGUAUAUGGAGAUAUCUAUAUAUCUAUGUCUAUAUUUGGUUAUGUGUAUUUGAUAUGUAUACAUAUGUGAUAUAUAGAGAUAGAAAGAGAAAGGUAGAACAUUAAAUGAUUUUUAUAAUGUUACAUGAAUUUUACAAAUGUUAAGCCAUUUUACAGUCAGUUGAAGACAUCAUACUUCAUACUGCAAUACUUUAUGUAUCUAUUUCCUAAGAACAAAGACAUACUAUGAAGGUUAAUUUUUUGUGUCAAUUUGACUAGGCCAUAGAGUGCCCACAUAUUUGGUUAAACAUUAUUCUAGUAUGUCUGUGAGGGGGGUUUCUGAAUGAGAUUAACAUUUGAAUUGAUAGACUGAGAAAAACAGAUUUCUUUUGCCAUUGUGGGUGAGCUCAUCCAAUCUUAUGAUAUUCCAAUCUUAAAGAUAAUGCAUAUGAAAUUUCUAUAUCAAAUGUAAUUUAUGCUGUAGUUUCUAAUAUAUAAUUUUUCAAAGAAAAUAAAUUUUCCUAAGACUUAUUUUUAAUCAGAAUUAUGUAUUUAACUUUACUGAAUACUGUAGUGGGUUGAACAUUGGCCCCUCAAAAGAUAUGUCCAUGUCCUAAUACCUGUGCCCUCUGAAUGUUACCUUAUUUUGAAAAAAGACUCUGCAGAUGUAAUUAAAUUAAUCACCUUAGACUAUCCUAGAUUACAUAGGUGGACUCGAAAUUCAAUAGCAAAUGUCCUUAUAAGACAGAAGAAAAAACAGAGAAGAGGAGAGAGCCAUAUAAAGGUCAAGGGAGAGACUGGAGCAGAUACAGCCACAAGGAAUGCCAACAGCCACCAGGAGCUGGAAGAGGUAAGUAUAGAUUCUCCCUUAGAGCCUUCGGAGAAAGUGAAACAUUGCUGACACCUUGAUAUCACAAUCUGUCCUCUAGAACUGUGAGAUAAUUAAUUUCUGUUGUUUAAA